GUCACGAUAUACCAGAAGGGACACUAGAAGUCGCAAAAGUUUCCAAGAUCCUACAUCAAUUGAAUAUAGGAAAAAUCACACAGACAGAUGCUGCACAACUUUAUGGAAACCAAACCAUAAUUGACGAGGAAACAACAGUAAGCGAUGAGGAAGCUUCAAGUGAUGAGGAUGUUGAAGAAUCCGAUGACCAGCAUGAUGAAGAAAAUAGAGAAGGUGUUCCUUCAGCUAACUCAAAACCUGCUGUGUCUGGGUUUCAACUUCACAUAUGGAUAUCAAGGAGCAGGGUAUGACACAGAUGAUAAUGAUGAUGAUAUGGGUGAUCCAGAUUAAAUUUACAAUAAAAGAAAGCUCGCUCCAGACAGUGAAGACUCGGAUGAGGACUUAAAAAGGCAAACAAAGAAAACCAGAAAUAACAGUGAGCCAAUGUUAAGGUUCCAGCACGACGACGGCGGACGACACGACACGACGAGCUGGCUAUGAAAAUACCUCUGGUUUUCUCCGAAAACAGCCGAGCUUAAAAACACUACGAAGGUGUCACAUGGACAUCAACGCAGACGCCGAAGCCAGGAGGAAUAGCUACAGCUGAACCUGGCAGGUUCGCCCAGUUGGAUUAUCGAAAGGCGGACGUGUGGAAUGGAGGUGCCCUGACGUACGAGAUCUUUGGGGCAGACAACCCUUUCUACAACACUGGUGAAGGGAGGCUAGACAGUCGCAGCUGUAGGCUGGAUGAUUUAUCCCCCUUGCCUGAUGAUGUGCCUGCUGUGGUGCGGAGAAUGGUGGCCGCACUGCUUGAAAAGGAACCACAGAAGAUGCUAGUGUGCCUUUUGCAACUGAUUGAUACCGACGGAGCGUUGGCGCAAAGAGGAAUAGGCGUUUGGAAUAAGCUGGCCAUCAAGUGUACUUCGGACGAAGACUGUCACCCGGGGACACACUGUGUGGAAAUCCAUAGAGGAGAAUCAUCAGCAUCAUCCCAGACCGACUUUCGUUGUUUGCCCAUCCAUCUGCCGUGCAAGCGCGACGAGGACUGUAACGCCGUAGUGUGCCCCAACCCUGACGAUGCCUCACUUUGCCUCCAGUCGACUUCCUUCCCGAUGGGCGGCGAGUGCCACUGCCCCCCUCCGGUAGAAGAGUGCGAUUCGGUCAUAUGCGAGGAGCAAUGUCCAUUAGGGUUUUUCUGUGAGUGCAUCGAAAACGUCUGCCUUGAGGGAUGAUGACUGCAUUCUCACUUAAACGACAGCCUCAAUCUUGAACACUUAUCUGGUCUACCGAUACAUCAACGCGCGAAUUUGU